rnacentral:rRNA from 1 species
ACAUGCCUACAACAUAACAUUAAUGCAUCAGAUCCCAUUAGAAAUUUGUACUUAAGCGCGCUCAUGUUAGAGUAGUAUUGAGAUGGGUGAUCGUCUGGGAAGUCCUAGUGUUUUACAUGCC